GAUGAACGCUGGCGGCGUGCCUAAUACAUGCGAGUCGAGCGAACAGACGAGGAGCUUGCUCCUCUGACGUUAGCGGCGGACGGGUGAGUAACACGUGGAUAACCUACCUAUAAGACUGGGAUAACUUCGGGAAACCGGAGCUAAUACCGGAUAAUAUAUUGAACCGCAUGGUUCAAUAGUGAAAGACGGUUUUGCUGUCACUUAUAGAUGGAUCCGCGCCGCAUUAGCUAGUUGGUAAGGUAACGGCUUACCAAGGCAACGAUGCGUAGCCGACCUGAGAGGGUGAUCGGCCACACUGGAACUGAGACACGGUCCAGACUCCUACGGGAGGCAGCAGUAGGGAAUCUUCCGCAAUGGGCGAAAGCCUGACGGAGCAACGCCGCGUGAGUGAUGAAGGUCUUCGGAUCGUAAAACUCUGUUAUUAGGGAAGAACAAAUGUGUAAGUAACUAUGCACGUCUUGACGGUACCUAAUCAGAAAGCCACGGCUAACUAC
rnacentral:rRNA from 1 species